rnacentral:rRNA from 1 species
AGUGAACGCUGGCGGUAGGCCUAACACAUGCAAGUCGAACGGCAGCACAGUAAGAGCUUGCUCUUACGGGUGGCGAGUGGCGGACGGGUGAGGAAUACAUCGGAAUCUACUUUUUCGUGGGGGAUAACGUAGGGAAACUUACGCUAAUACCGCAUACGACCUACGGGUGAAAGCAGGGGAUCUUCGGACCUUGCGCGAUUGAAUGAGCCGAUGUCGGAUUAGCUAGUUGGCGGGGUAAAGGCCCACCAAGGCGACGAUCCGUAGCUGGUCUGAGAGGAUGAUCAGCCACACUGGAACUGAGACACGGUCCAGACUCCGACGGGAGGCAGCAGUGGGGAAUAUUGGACAAUGGGCGCAAGCCUGAUCCAGCCAUACCGCGUGGGUGAAGAAGGCCUGCGGGUUGUAAAGCCCUUUUGUUGGGAAAGAAAAGCAGCAGGUUAAUACCCCGCUGUUCGGACGGUACCCAAAGAAUAAGCACCGGCGAACUUCGG